AGUGAACGCUGGCGGUAGGCCUAACACAUGCAAGUCGAACGGCAGCACAGUAAGAGCUUGCUCUUACGGGUGGCGAGUGGCGGACGGGUGAGGAAUACAUCGGAAUCUACUUUUUCGUGGGGGAUAACGUAGGGAAACUUACGCUAAUACCGCAUACGACCUACGGGUGAAAGCAGGGGAUCUUCGGACCUUGCGCGAUUGAAUGAGCCGAUGUCGGAUUAGCUAGUUGGCGGGGUAAAGGCCCACCAAGGCGACGAUCCGUAGCUGGUCUGAGAGGAUGGUCCCCCCCCUGGAAACUGGAACCCGUCCCCACCCCCUACGGGGGGCACAGUGGGGGAAUUUUGGCAAAUGGGGCAAAGCCUGCCCCGCCCAUCCCGGGGGGGUGAAAAAGGCCUUCGGUUGGUAAACCCUUUUUUUUGGGAAAAAAAAGCAGCAGGUUAAACCCCCGCUGUUUUGACGGACCCAAAAGAAAAAGCACCGGCAAACUUCGU
rnacentral:rRNA from 1 species